UUUAGUAGUUUAAUAAUUAAAUGGUUCAGUUAGAUGAUCACUAUGAAUGUUUGAAUGUUCGACAACUGGUUUGAAUUGAUGAUUUCAUAUGGUGCUGGCAAUUGGAGUUUUAUAAAUAAUGGGUUCUUGGAAUUAUGUAUUUAUGCAUCGUGGUUUUCUACCCCUCGAGGUAGUCAGUUUUCAAAAUAGAGUUUCCGAGUGGAAAAUAGUUUUAAAAAGAUUUUCAAAUGGUUUUUAUGGAAGAUUAAUUAGAGUUUAAAAAUCAAAGCUUCCGGGUGGGGAGCACUUUUAAAUAGAAUGCUUGUUGUACUGUGCAUUGCAUCAUCCAGUGCCUAAGAAGUGUUUAGAGGCAUGCAUCAUCUCUAAGAAUCGCUAGCUGUAUGGAAAUGCAAGGCAUAAAUUGAUUGUGGAUUGGUAAAUAUAGGUUGUUGUUGUGAUCCUGAUGUUGUUGUUGGUACGCCAUGCAAAUAUAAAGGAGACUUUGUCCGAGUAGACAGAGAAACUUUGCAUUUGUGGUGGGUCUGUACGUCACGUGGGCUAGGUUAAAAAAAAAAUUGCACAUUUUUCGCAACUCUGAUUUCAAAGGUUGUAUGAAUUUUAAAAAGGCUUUUAAAAUCGGCCCUGGGGCGUGACAGAUUAAGAUAGUAUCAGAGCAUGAAACAACUACAACUGCAUUUACAAGUUUUCUAACUGAA
rnacentral:lncRNA from 1 species